GGUUUUAAAGCUCAUGCCAUGCCUCUCUCUGUCUUUAGAUCAGGAUGUCUUUCUCAGCUAUUGAUCCAGUGACUGUCUGCAUGUUACUAUGUUCUCUGCCAUGAUGGUAACAGAUAAUGAACUAUACCUCUGAAACUGGCUAUUUUUCUCUGCUGUGAUACUUUGCUGUAUAAAAGAAAUGGCUUCAAUAACCCUGUGAUACUUUGUUGUAUAAAAGAAAUGGCUUCAGUAACCACUCAAGAACUGGAAUUCUAUUGACUGCAAAACUCUUAUAAGGCAGGACUUCUGGGCAUGUCCACAGCAAAUAGAAGACUAAUUACUGGUGUUUCCGCACUAUGAAAUACUCAGCCACUUGGCCUGCUCCUUCAAAGAUGCCAGAUGUUAAGAGACCCAUGUAUCCUCAGAUAUUGGAUUCCCAGCCUGGAGAGAUUCUGUGUCUCAAACCAGCAUCUGACCACUUUGUAUAUUCCUUGGAUUAUUCUACCAAGAAGUGCUUUGGAGAUAGACAUUUGGCUCACAGAAAAGCAUCCUUUGUUUAUAGGCAAACAGGAAGUUUCCUUCUGAGAUGGAAUGCUUUAACCUUGGAGGAGACUGCCGUACAACAAGUACAUAUUCAAGAAAGUGCAUAUAUAGGUGUUGUGCUCUAUGAAUUUUCAUCAGACAAACUCCAUGUACCCAGCAUCCAGACAUGUUCAGAAAUAUGCACAGAUAUGUUGUAGAUGACAUCAAAUCCACAAUGAGGUAAGUCAUGAAACAAAAGUUGGGACUGCAAAGAGGAAGAAAUACACAUUAAGGAAAGAAAAGGGGGGAUGAAGAAAAGAGAGAGUGAUGGGAUGCACAUGCAAUGAACGCAGAAGGCGCUUCUUUGGGAAAAGAUUGGUGUCUUGUCCAAUCAUCGUCAGAGAGGCUUCCUCCAGCACCAGAUUGGAGCAGGUGCAGAGACUCACAGCCAGACAUGCAGAGAGACUGUCUUCAUUGGAGGUCUCAAUCAUGUCCCUUCUCUAAGAACUCAGGGUACCCUGCAGAAGUGGAGAAGAAAAGAUUGCAGGAAACAGAAUGGAGUCAGAGUGGAUGGAAGAUACUGGGAGAACACGGUCCACAGAACCAACUAAGCAGGUCUCCACAUGGGCUCACAGAGAUUGAAGCAGCAAGCACGGGGCCUGCAUGGCUCUGCACCAAGUCCUCUGUGUAUAUGCUAUGCCCAUUGGGCAGUGGGAGGGGGUAUAUCUCUGACUCUUUUGUCUGCUCUUGGGACUCCUUUCCUCCUAUUGGGUUGCUUUGCUCAACCCCUAUAUGAGGGCUUUUGUCUUGUCUUAUUGAAUCUUGUUUUGUCAUGUUUGGAUAUUGUGUCUUGGAGGCCUGCUCUUUUCUGAAGAGAAAUGGAGGGCAAGUGGAUCUGAGGGAGAGGGAAAGAGUGGAGGGAGGAGAAACUGUGAUUGGAAUGUAUUGCAUGAAAGAAGAAUUCAAUUAAAAGAUAGUCAGAGCUACCUAUCCUCUUUGUCGCUCUCAGGGACAUUAAUUUGAAAUAACUACUGUAAAGCUAUUUGGUUUACAUAUUACAAUUGUAAGCACCUGCAGAUGAUAUUUUACCUUUUUUCGUUCUGAUUCUAAAUUCCCAGGAAAAGGAUUGGCUGACUAAGCAUGUGUAUAGUAUAUAGAGUUAACCAUGACCAGGGAGAUAAACUCACAUAUUCACAUGUGUCUAUUAUGGAUCCAAUAUGCUCUCCAUUCUCAUCCCUUGUCAUUUCUUGCAUACUUUUCAUAUACUUCUGAUACUAAAUAAUGAUUGCUUACUAAAGACAUAAAGAAAAAUGGUAGAAGCUGUUAUUAUUGGUAAGAGACAUCUGAAUAAACAUUUGAAACCUUAUCUGCAUAGCAGAUAUAAAUAAUUAUGGCAUGUAGAGGAAAAGUACAACAUAUCUAGGCUAAUUGAUAAGGUGACAUAAUUUAAAUCAAUAUUGUGCUUAACAACAGUGUUCAAUACUAAUAAGCCAAAAAUUUAAUGACAUCUGAAUGAAAAUCCAUUUAAUUAAUUUGUUAUGUGUGUGCUAUUUGCAUAUGCUCAGAUAGGUAAAUGUGCAUAUGUGUGUAUGUGCACAUGAUGGACAGAGAUCCACACUGAGCGUCUUCCUCAUUCAUUCCCUGUCUUACUGUUCUUCACAGCAGAGUCUUUUACUGAACUUUGAGCUCAUUGAUUUGGAUAGGCCAACGAACUCCAAAAAUCUUCCUGUGUCCACACCUUCCACACUCUCAACAUACUCAUCAACAGUGAGAUUACAGAUGUGCAGAAACUCUCAUGUUUGUUUCUGUCUCUAUUAUUUGAAUGUCGUGGAUCUUAACUAAGGUGCUCAUGCUUGUUCAGUAGGCACUUUAAUAACUGCUAUCUCCCUUCCAGUAGUCUAGAUCUUUAGAAAUUUAAUUCUAAAACUGCUAUUACUAUUGUAUUGCAUCUCUCUUCUUUAACAUGGUUAAAAAGAGACAGUACACCACUCUGCCUCAACUAGACAGAUAGUAGAGAUUCAUUUGUCAAUAUAGCACUUAUCAGCUGCCUUUCUAUAUGUUAACAACUAGAACUAAUUGUUGAGGUAAUGAAUAAGUAAUACAGGAUUUAGGUAAUGUCAGGAAAGAUAAAUUAGCUCCCAGAAGUUAGAGAACAAUAAAGUGGAAUCCAGGUCUGAGGAGUUAGAAGAGAGCAAAUUCAUUUCAUACAUAAAAUAUUUUCAUUUAAUACUAUUCAAAAGUAGAGAUCAUUUUUAUGUGUUUGCAAUUUGCAAUAUUAGAGAUGGUAAGGAUUUUAGAUACAGAAAGAGGAUGGUUUGUGACUGUUUCAUGUAUUUCACAAUGAACAUUUUCAUUUUAUGAGUAUUUUGAAAAGUUAUUCUAUGGGUGAUUUUAUGAAAUGUGUUUUUACUAUAGGCAUUAAAUAUUUGUAAUAUACAUAAUAAAAAUAUAAAUUGAUUACCUCAUUGUUAAAACAUGUAUGCUAUUGUAUUCUGCUGAAAAUCACACAUUUUACUUGUGUAACACUUCUUUAAACAAUUUAAUUUAUGAGAAUAGAUACUAUGUGUUUAUCUUCAUGUACAAUGAAGUUUGAACUUUAAAUCAGUGAAGACCUCUUAUUUUGUAAAGAUGCUGAUUUAUUUUUGAAUUAUUUCUUUUAUUUUUAAGACUACAUUAAAAUUACAUCAUUUUCCCCUUCCCUUUCUUCCCUCCAAACUUUUCCAUACACCUCUCCUUGAUGUCUUUUAAAAUUCAUGGUAUCUUUUUAUUAUAAGUUGUUGUUACACGUAUGCAUACAUUCCUAAAAUUAACAUGAUGAGUUUCAAUAAGGUUAAUAGUAUGCAUAUUUUCAAUGCUAAUCACUUGGUUUUUAAUAAUAAAUUGAUAUGGUCUUCCCAAGAAAAGACUAUUUCUCUCACUCUCCGAAUUCUUUAGCUGCUUGUAGUUAAUUGCACAGAAUGGCUUCCUCCCCACCCCUGUGCACUUUUGCAUAUCUAUUGUUGUUGCUCUUGUUUAGCUCAUGUUUAUUUAGGAAGUUGAGACUUGAUGGGUGUGGCUCCUGGCAUCACAAGAUGACCCAAUUUCACACCAAACUCCCUGAUCCUCUGGCUCUUAUAGUCUUUCUUUCCCCUCUUCUGAACUGUUGCUGAGCUGCGGGUGUGGGAGUGUUUUGUAGAUGUGUUUAUUAGGACUGAUUUCACAACUCUGCAUUUUGUUUGGGUGUAGUUUCUGUUAUAAUCUCCUAUUGCAAAAAAAUCUCUUUUAUGAAGGGUGUUGACUAUACUUAUUUGUGGAUAUAAGAAUAAAUAUUUAGUUAGGAAUUAUACUGGUUUAAUAAAAUGAUAGUUGUAGGCUUUCUUUCAAAAUCCAUGAUUUUUCUAGUACUGAGUAGUUCACUAGGUUUCCAGUACCGGGCAUGGAUUUCCUCUUGUUGAGUGGGUCUUAAGUCCAAUUAGAGAGCUGUUGGUUACCACCAAGGUAUUCAAGCCACUACUACACCCUUAGCGUUAUCAUGACAUGCUUGCUGUGAUUCAUUGUCAUCAUAGCUGAGUAGGAAUGUCAGUUGCUUCUCUCUUUUCAAAGCUUGCUUGGAACCUUCUAAUACCAUGAAAAUUAGUCUGAAAGGCCCAGACCCUCACCCAGCCCCUGCUUUGGCAGAUAUAACAGGCUGCAGAAAAGACCCACCAAGAUGUAGGCCUCUGACUCAGUAACAUGUUCUUAGCCCACAACCUUGCCUGACCCUGCCCUAUUCACUAGGAAGCCAGAUAACCUCUGAAAGGCCAGGAUAAAGAAUACCCCCUCAGCAGACAAAAUAAGGCC